UACGGAGGGGGCUAGCGUUGUUCGGAAUUACUGGGCGUAAAGCGCACGUAGGCGGCUUUGCAAGUUAGAGGUGAAAGCCCGGGGCUCAACUCCGGAAUUGCCUUUAAAACUGCAUCGCUAGAAUUGUGGAGAGGUAAGUGGAAUUCCGAGUGUAGAGGUGAAAUUCGUGAGAUAUUCGGAAGAACACCAGUGGCGAAGGCGACUUACUGGACACAUAUUGACGCUGAGGUGCGAAAGCGUGGGGAGCAAACAGGG
rnacentral:rRNA from 1 species